AGCAAUUUAGCACAGUGGAAGAAGCGCGGGGCUCAUAACUCCGAGGUCCCUGGAUCAAAACCAGGAAUUGCUA
rnacentral:tRNA from 1 species